rnacentral:rRNA from 1 species
UACAGAGGUCCCAAGCGUUGUUCGGAUUCACUGGGCGUAAAGGGUGCGUAGGCGGUCGGGUAAGUCUGACGUGAAAUCUCCGAGCCUAACUCGGAAACUGCGUCGGAUACUAUUCGGCUAGAGGAAUGGAGGGGAGACUGGAAUUCUCGGUGUAGCAGUGAAAUGCGUAGAUAUCUGGAGGAACACCGGUGGCGAAGGCGGCAUCCUGGACCGGCAUUGACGCUGAGGAGCGAAAGCCAGGGGAGCAAACGGG